AUUGAACGCUGGCGGCAGGCCUAACACAUGCAAGUCGAACGAGUGGCGGACGGGUGAGUAAUGUCUGGGCAACUGCCUGAUGGAGGGGGAUCACUACUGGAAACGGUAGCUCAUACCGCAUACCAUCGGAUGUGCCCAGAUGGGUUUAGCUAGUAGGUGGGGUAACGGCUCACCUAGGCGACGAUCCCUCUCUGGUCUGAGAGGAUGACCAGCCAAACUGGAACUGAGACACGGUCCAGACGCAUACGGGAGGCAGCAGUGGGUAAUAUUGCACAAUGGGCGCAAGCCUGAUGCAGCCAUGCCGCGUGUAUGAAGAAGGCCUUCGGGUUGUAAAGUACUUUCAGCGGGGAGGCGUGACCCGCAGAAGAAGCACCGGCUAACUCCGUGCCAGCAGCCGCGGGAAUUC
rnacentral:rRNA from 1 species